rnacentral:rRNA from 1 species
UUUAUGGGGUGACUGCGUACCUUUUGUAUAAUGGGUCAGCGACUUAUAUUCUGUAGCAAGGUUAACCGAAUAGGGGAGCCGAAGGGAAACCGAGUCUUAACUGGGCGUUAAGUUGCAGGGUAUAGACCCGAAACCCGGUGAUCUAGCCAUGGGCAGGUUGAAGGUUGGGUAACACUAACUGGAGGACCGAACCGACUAAUGUUGAAAAAUUAGCGGAUGACUUGUGGCUGGGGGUGAAAGGCCAAUCAAACCGGGAGAUAGCUGGUUCUCCCCGAAAGCUAUUUAGGUAGCGCCUCGUGAAUUCAUCUCCGGGGGUAGAGCACUGUUUCGGCAAGGGGGUCAUCCCGACUUACCAACCCGAUGCAAACUGCGAAUACCGGAGAAUGUUAUCACGGGAGACACACGGCGGGUGCUAACGUCCGUCGUGAAGAGGGAAACAACCCAGACCGCCAGCUAAGGUCCCAAAGUCAUGGUUAAGUGGGAAACGAUGUGGGAAGGCCCAGACAGCCAGGAUGUUGGCUUAGAAGCAGCCAUCAUUUAAAGAAAGCGUAAUAGCUCACUGGUCGAGUCGGCCUGCGCGGAAGAUGUAACGGGGCUAAACCAUGCACCGAAGCUGCGGCAGCGACGCUUAUGCGUUGUUGGGUAGGGGAGCGUUCUGUAAGCCUGUGAAGGUGGCCUGUGAGGGUUGCUGGAGGUAUCAGAAGUGCGAAUGCUGACAUAAGUAACGAUAAAGCGGGUGAAAAGCCCGCUCGCCGGAAGACCAAGGGUUCCUGUCCAACGUUAAUCGGGGCAGGGUGAGUCGACCCCUAAGGCGAGGCCGAAAGGCGUAGUCGAUGGGAAACAGGUUAAUAUUCCUGUACUUGGUGUUACUGCGAAGGGGGGACGGAGAAGGCUAUGUUGGCCGGGCGACGGUUGUCCCGGUUUAAGCGUGUAGGCUGGUUUUCCAGGCAAAUCCGGAAAAUCAAGGCUGAGGCGUGAUGACGAGGCACUACGGUGCUGAAGCAACAAAUGCCCUGCUUCCAGGAAAAGCCUCUAAGCAUCAGGUAACAUCAAAUCGUACCCCAAACCGACACAGGUGGUCAGGUAGAGAAUACCAAGGCGCUUGAGAGAACUCGGGUGAAGGAACUAGGCAAAAUGGUGCCGUAACUUCGGGAGAAGGCACGCUGAUAUGUAGGUGAAGCGACUUGCUCGUGGAGCUGAAAUCAGUCGAAGAUACCAGCUGGCUGCAACUGUUUAUUAAAAACACAGCACUGUGCAAACACGAAAGUGGACGUAUACGGUGUGACGCCUGCCCGGUGCCGGAAGGUUAAUUGAUGGGGUCAGCCGCAAGGCGAAGCUCUUGAUCGAAGCCCCGGUAAACGGCGGCCGUAACUAUAACGGUCCUAAGGUAGCGAAAUUCCUUGUCGGGUAAGUUCCGACCUGCACGAAUGGCGUAAUGAUGGCCAGGCUGUCUCCACCCGAGACUCAGUGAAAUUGAACUCGCUGUGAAGAUGCAGUGUACCCGCGGCAAGACGGAAAGACCCCGUGAACCUUUACUAUAGCUUGACACUGAACAUUGAGCCUUGAUGUGUAGGAUAGGUGGGAGGCUUUGAAGCGUGGACGCCAGUCUGCGUGGAGCCGACCUUGAAAUACCACCCUUUAAUGUUUGAUGUUCUAACGUGGACCCGUGAUCCGGGUUGCGGACAGUGUCUGGUGGGUAGUUUGACUGGGGCGGUCUCCUCCUAAAGAGUAACGGAGGAGCACGAAGGUUGGCUAAUCCUGGUCGGACAUCAGGAGGUUAGUGCAAUGGCAUAAGCCAGCUUGACUGCGAGCGUGACGGCGCGAGCAGGUGCGAAAGCAGGUCAUAGUGAUCCGGUGGUUCUGAAUGGAAGGGCCAUCGCUCAACGGAUAAAAGGUACUCCGGGGAUAACAGGCUGAUACCGCCCAAGAGUUCAUAUCGACGGCGGUGUUUGGCACCUCGAUGUCGGCUCAUCACAUCCUGGGGCUGAAGUAGGUCCCAAGGGUAUGGCUGUUCGCCAUUUAAAGUGGUACGCGAGCUGGGUUUAGAACGUCGUGAGACAGUUCGGUCCCUAUCUGCCGUGGGCGCUGGAGAACUGAGGGGGGCUGCUCCUAGUACGAGAGGACCGGAGUGGACGCAUCACUGGUGUUCGGGUUGUCAUGCCAAUGGCACUGCCCGGUAGCUAAAUGCGGAAGAGAUAAGUGCUGAAAGCAUCUAAGCACGAAACUUGCCCCGAGAUGAGUUCUCCCUGACUCCUUGAGAGUCCUGAAGGAACGUUGAAGACGACGACGUUGAUAGGCCGGGUGUGUAAGCGCAGCGAUGCGUUGAGCUAACCGGUACUAAUGAACCGUGAGGCUUAACCUU